rnacentral:sRNA from 1 species
GUUCAGUUAGCCCAGAUGGCUAAGGCACGCGAGAUUAAUAGUAAGGGCGUGGGUUCGAAUUCCACUCUAAGCA